rnacentral:rRNA from 1 species
GACGAACGCUGGCGGCGUGCUUAACACAUGCAAGUCGAACGGAAAGGCCUUUUCGGAGGUACUCGAGUGGCGAACGGGUGAGUAACACGUGGGUGAUCUGCCCUGCACUCUGGGAUAAGCCUGGGAAACUGGGUCUAAUACCGGAUAGGACCGCACUUUAGUGUGUGUGGUGGAAAGUUUUUUCGGUGUAGGAUGAGCCCGCGGCCUAUCAGCUUGUUGGUGGGGUAAUGGCCUACCAAGGCGGCGACGGGUAGCCGGACUGAGAGGUUGGUCGGCCACAUUGGGACUGAGAUACGGCCCAGACUCCUACGGGAGGCAGCAGUGGGGAAUCUUGCACAAUGGGCGCAAGCCUGAUGCAGCGACGCCGCGUGGGGGAUGACGGCCUUCGGGUUGUAAACUCCUUUCGCCAGGGACGAAGCGUUUUGUGACGGUACCUGGAGAAGAAGCACCGGCUAACUACGUG